UGUUUCCCACAGUGUUUCCUCAUAACCUCUUUGGACUGAGCACCAGGGCUGUUUCCUAGUGAAGAAGGCCAAAUCACAAGAGAAGAAAAGAUUGAUCUUGAGUGCUGGGUAUUUUUCGCUCACCACAUUAGCUGCCAGUUUUCCAGGCUAUCCCCCCAGGACUGAGAUGAGGUGAGAGGUGGUUCAAUGAACGAGACAGAAAAUAUCAAUUAUUGAUGAGAAUAUGGAGCACUUGGAGUUCUUAUACACUGCUAGCUGGAGUGCCAAAUGAGUACAAGCUACUCUGCCAGUACCCUGCGAGCUGAACCUAAUCAACGAGUUGGCAAGUCUACUCCUAGGGGAAGCCUGCUGCCAGGUCACGUAGCCCCGUGGAGACGCCUGCAUGGUGAGGAACUGAGGCCUGCCCAAAACCACAGGAAUGAUCUUGGAUGUGGAUCUUCCAGCCCCAGAUGAAAACAUUGAAACUAAAGAAUGAAACACGUGCUGGUCAAAGUCACAGCUCUCUGAAGUAUCAGAGCUGCAACUUGAACCCAGUCUGUCUGGAUAAUUCCAGUAAGCCAGGCUCAGUCAAAACUUGAGGCAGGGGAAACAAAAGCAAAAAUGACUAUUGGGACCUCAUCAAGAUAAAACCUUCUGCACAGUGAUGGAAAUAAUCAACAAAACCAAAAGGUAACCGACGGGAUGGGAGAAGAUGACAUAUUGGAUAAAGGGUGGAAAUUCAGAGAUGAAAAGGCCAAGUUUCCUGUCCUCGAGAAAUUGCUGGUGUGAUCAGGUCGAGUUGUAAAAAUAUGAUCCACCAAGAACCAAGAUCCCCUGGAGAGGAAGCCAAUUUGCAGCCCUAAAAAGAAGCUAAAAUUGAACGCAUAUUAUAAUUCAGUGCAUUAUUGAAUGCAUGUAACGAGGAAAACCACGUUCAGAAAUGUGAGCCAAUUUGACUCAGAACCAUCAAGCCAUAUUACCACCAACCUCCAUGUCGUCCGACAAGCAUUUGAGUGGCUUCCCUGUACAAGAAAUUGGAAGCUCUAAUCUCUGCUUUCCGGGUCUAUAUUACACCGUGCCCUCUUUCCCCUGACAUGUGCCUGGAGACCCAAGUAUCAGAAAUCUUCCUAGAUGAUGCCAGCCUAUACUGAGAAAGGAUUCCUGUUGGAGCCAUUCCAAAUCCCAUUUCUCAGAGGACAAAAUAGAGACUCUGCUACUCUCUGAACACCCCUCUUACUGAGAACUGGCAACACCUAAUGUGGACAGAAGAAAGCUUACAUCCUUUGGAGGCAGCGCUGGAGUCUAGAAUUCGGAGAUCACAAACGUGGGUAAUGGAUAUCGGGGGCCAGGAGGUCAUCUUAUAUUGCUGAAAAAAGGGUAAGUUGCCUCACCCCACUCCAAUUUGGCAAUAUCUCUAAAAGUUUACAAUGUAUCUAUCCUUUGAUCAAGGGAUUCCAUUCCUAACCGUGUACCCCAUGGAGAGCACAUGUACAAAUAUAAGCUGGCAGAAAAGUAUGUGUCACAACAUUGUUUCUAAACACAGUAAAUGAUGGAAAAGAAACAGAAAUUUACUACUCUGAAGCACUGGUAAAAAUAUAGCCCAUCCAUGGAAUAAUAUGCUGCCAUUAAAAUAAGACACUUUUACAUUUACUGAAAUGGAAAGAUCUCCAGCAUGUAUUAAGUGGGAGAAACGGGAAGGAAGUGCAGAAAAAUUUGCAUACAAAUCCACCUGUGUGGGAAAGAAAAUGGACGGACUCUGAAAUCUAUUCACUGGCUGACUGUCUCUGGGGAGGAGAAUUGAGUGGAUAGGAGACAAGGGAGGGAUUCUUGUUUUUUGCCUUUUUAUACCUUUGUACUUUUGUAUUAUGUGCCUGUAUUACCUAAUUAUAAGCAACCAAUCUAACAAACAUGAAUGAACAGCCCAGAGAAACUUAGGAAGUGAUGUGAGCAACGGAAAAGAUCCCAGGAUUUAUCAUCAAAUGGGGUCUGAGUUGAAAUCCUAGCUCUCACCCACUAUGGGCCCUUUGUUCUCUGAGUUCUGUAAAAUAUAAAUCUGUAAAAUCAAGAUCAUAAUGCCCAACAAGCAGCACUGUUGGAAGAAUGAGACAUAACAUCAAUGAAGUGCCUGGCUCAGUGAAGAGUAGCCGUCAUUAUUGAAUUCACAUUGGGGGAAAUUAAUAACCACAGAGAAGGCUAAAUCUAUUCCAAGUUACACAGGAAGUUUAACAGCAAAUUCUUUCCCAAGGGGCUGCUUCAGGCUUUGGCCUAUUCUCCAGAGCCUGCUGAAUAUGAGAGGAACUGUUUUCAGGGCGGGCCAGACCUGGGUCUGUUUGGCGGUGCUCCAAAGUUUCAGGUGCAAUAGGUUAGCGGCAACCGGUCCUCUUGUUUUCCUCAUUAUCAUUGUGAAGAAAUUAGCCCGCAGUUGUUCAAGCGGCGGGGGGGAAGCAUUCUGGGUGGUCUGGGGCCCCCUGAGAAGGCCUGCCACAUGAAGGCCGGGAUGCCCAAUUACAUUUGAAUUUCAGGUAAAUAACGAAUAACCUCGCAAUACAGACAUACCCCAAAUAGUACAGUACAGCUUGCCAUGCGGCGUACCUGGACUACAAAACCGUUUGUUGAUUAUCUGAAAUUCAGAUGUCACUAUGAGU